rnacentral:misc_RNA from 1 species
GCUUUCGUCAUUUGUUUUUGCCACAUGUUGUGAGCCUGCAACUGGUAUUACAUCACACGACAGUGCUAACUUGAGUUUUAUUCCCGUGUCUAAGUCUAAGUGAAAAUUGGAACUCCAACUUGUUAUAAGUGAGUGUAAACUCAGUUUUGUUUUCAAGGCUAAUUCAGUGCGUGAUUGCCACGCUAUUCUCGGAAUGGAUGGUGGUUGUCGUGAAUCUGGAAGGAUUAUGAUUUAUCAUUGGAAAUUUAAAAACUUGCCUGAAAGAUGCUCAAUUAUGACAGAAAUGGCGGAAUUUCAGGGACUUAAAGCUUUUCGAUUUGCUUUGAAACGAGUCGGUGGUAAAGACUCAAAGACAAUGGUUUAUUUCAUUUGCACAAAUUUGUACAAAACUGGUUUUAAAAUUGAAAAAGUAUCUCUCAAGAUUAAAGGAAAACCUUACUUGGAUGGGCACAUGCAGGCUGAACGUAAUGAUGAGCUUGAUCACCUACAAUUAUUUAUCAAACAAGUCAACUGUGAUUGGAAAAAACAAGAAACUAUCACGUUUGGUGUACACGUCGUCGAAACAGUAGAGCACUAUCAUUACCAAUUGUCUGACGUUUUAUUUACGGAACAUUUAUGGACAGCCGCCCAAAACAAACUCUGGACUGACAUUGAAUUCUCAGUCAAAAAUCAUAUUUAUUCAGCACAUCGGGCGAUCUUGGCAGCUCGAAGUCCAACAUUGUUUGUGUCAGAUUCGUUGAUUGAAGGUAGCCGUAUCAAGAUCGAACACACAGAUCCCAUUGCUUUUGAAAUGUUUCUUCGAUUUCUGUAUACUGGCAUCUUCAAGGUCAAUAAUCGAAAAGGUAUUAAUGAAGAAGUGUUGCAAUUGGCCGAACGCUACCAGUUGAGCACGUUGAAAUCUCUUUGUCAAUUGGCCGUUCAAGAUAUCAAUGCCAAUCAACUGACGUAUUUUGCUAUGGCAAUGAAACCAGAUUUUGAAAUUUGUCCUAAGAAACCUCAGCUUAACGAGAAGACAGUAGCACAAUUAUUUUUUCAAAAAUACUACGGUGUUAUUGAAUGCGUUUGGCGAGUAGAGGAAUUGCCGGAUGACGACCAGGUGUUCACUUCAGAUCUCUUGCAUUUCCGCAAUGAUGGAGCGUUCCGAGCGGGAUUGGCGGAUCAUCCGGUCACUAAACACUCGACUCUUCUUUCUCCACAGCAUUUUCUUUAUCUGGCCUGUUCCCACCUUGAGAAAACGGGUACAUCGAUAUCCCACGUCGACAGCUACAUCGAUGGAAUUGACUGUUACCGAAUGGAUCGAAGAGGCGAAAAGGCCUUGUACAUCUUUGGCCGAGAGCUCUUCGAUCUAGUGGUUCCGUGUGCUUUCAAAUUUGACAUAAUGAUCAAGGAAACUGUUGAAAACUAUCGCUAUCAGCUGAUAGAUAGUCUACGCGCCAUUGAUUUAUGGAAUAUGUUUCAGCUGGAGAUUAUCACUGAUGUCGAGUUUCUAGUUGGCGAGAAAACUUUUGCAGCACAUCGAGUCAUUAUCGCAACAAGGAGUCCAGUGUUUGCGACGCUGUUCAACACUUCGACAGUGGAAUCUGUCACUGGCAAGAUUCGGAUUGACGACGCUUUUGCCCCCGACGUCUUCAGGGAAUUUCUUUUCUUCCUUUACACGGGGACGCUCCAAGUGUCCGCCAACUGUCAAUCCCUUUUGAAAAUGGCAGAAAGGUAUCAAGUGGAGACUUUGAUUCAAAUUUGUCGUAUGGCCAGUCAAGAAAUCGACGUUGAAGAGAUUUCCACAUCUUUGAUAUGGUUGUGCUCUUUAAAAAUAAAAUUGCAAAGUAGAGUUUCCUUCCGCUAGAUGUCUACUUCGUUUUGCCAACCAUUUUUCAAAAACGAUUUGAAUCUCUUCCGGCCUGGAUUGUCUUUCAAAUGAGAUGCCAUGGAGGCUUAGGAUAAUAACAGUCAGAUGCUGUGGCGAUGUGGUUGUGGGCCGGAUGAUGGAAGUUGAUGUGUGCUGGGUGCGACCACCCAUAUGU